CCUACGGGAGGCAGCAGUGAGGAAUAUUGGUCAAUGGGCUUACGCCUGAACCAGCCAAGUCGCGUGAAGGAUGACUGCCCUAUGGGUUGUACACUUCUUUUAUAUGGGAAUAAAAUGUUCCACGUGUGGGUUUUUGUAUGUACCAUAUGAAUAAGGAUCGGCUAACUCCGUGCCAGCAGCCGCGGUAAUACGGAGGAUCCGAGCGUUAUCCGGAUUUAUUGGGUUUAAAGGGAGCGUAGGUGGAUUGUUAAGUCAGUUGUGAAAGUUUGCGGCUCAACCGUAAAAUUGCAGUUGAAACUGGCAGUCUUGAGUACAGUAGAGGUGGGCGGAAUUCGUGGUGUAGCGGUGAAAUGCUUAGAUAUCACGAAGAACUCCGAUUGCGAAGGCAGCUCACUGGACUGCAACUGACACUGAUGCUCGAAAGUGUGGGUAUCAAACAGGAUUAGAUACCCUUGUAGUC
rnacentral:rRNA from 1 species